rnacentral:rRNA from 1 species
GGGACACGUGAAACCCUGUGGGAAGCAGGAGGGACCACCCUCCAAGGCUAAAUACUACCUAGUGACCGAUAGCGUAUAGUACCGUGAGGGAAAGGUGAAAAGAACCCCGGGAGGGGAGUGAAAUAGAACCUGAAACCCUGCACUUACAAGCUGUGGAAGCACAUUUCUUGUGUGACCGCGUACUUUUUGUAGAACGGGCCAACGAGUUACGUUAAGUAGCAAGGUUAAGCACUUAAGGUGCGGAGCCGUAGCGAAAGCGAGUUUUAACUGAGCGUUCAGUUACUUGACGUAGACCCGAAACCGGGCGACCUACCCAUGAGCAGGAUGAAGCGAAAGUAAAAUUUCGUGGAGGUCCGAACCCACGAGCGUUGAAAAGCUCGGGGAUGACUUGUGGGUAGCGGUGAAAUUCCAAUCGAGCCCGGAGAUAGCUGGUUCUCCCCGAAAUAGCUUUAGGGCUAGCCUCAAGGUGAGAGAUACGGAGGUAGAGCACUGAAUGUCCUAGGGGGUAUUGCACCUACCGAAGACUAUCAAACUCCGAAUGCCGUCAUCUUAUACUUGGGAGUCAGACUGUGGGUGAUAAGAUUCAUAGUCGAAAGGGCAACAGCCCAGAUCGUCAGCUAAGGUCCCUAAAUGUAAGUUAAGUGGUAAAGGAUGUGGGAUUGCACAGACAACCAGGAUGUUGGCUUAGAAGCAGCCACUCAUUCAAAGAGUGCGUAAUAGCUCACUGGUCGAGUGAUCCUGCGCCGAAGAUUUCCGGGGCUAAAACUUACUACCGAAGCUACGGCAUCAGUAAUGAUGGGUAGGGGAGCUUCCCAUACGGGUUGAAGCAUGACCGUAAGGACAUGUGGACAGUAUGGGAGUGAGAAUGUUGGCAUGAGUAGCGAGAUGUGGGUGAGAAUCCCACAGGCCGUAAACCCAAGGUUUCCAGGGGAAGGUUCGUCCGCCCUGGGUUAGUCGGGACCUAAGCUGAGGCCGAAAGGCGUAGGUGAUGGACAACAGGUUGAUAUUCCUGUACUACCGAUAACCGUUUGAGAGAAGGGAUGACACAGUAGGAUAAGCUAAGCACACUGUUGGUUAUGUGUGCCCAAGCAUUGAGGCAGUCAAAGU